CCCUUAGAUGUUCUGGGCUGCACGCGCGCUACACUGAAGCGUUCAACGAGUAUUCACCUUGCCCGGGAGGGUUGGGUAAUCUUUUGAAAACGCUUCGUGAUGGGGAUAGAUUAUUGCAAUUAUUAAUCUUCAACGAGGAAUUCCUAGUAAGCGCGAGUCAUCAGCUCGUGCUGAUUACGUCCCUGCCCUUUGUACACACCGCCCGUCGCUCCUACCGAUUGAAUGGUCCGGUGAAGCGUUCGGACCGUGGCCUUUGGACGGUUCGCCGUCUGUUGGCUGCGGGAAGUUCGUUAAACCUUAUCAUUUAGAGGAAGGAGAAGUCGUANCA
rnacentral:rRNA from 1 species